GCGCCUAACACAUGCAAGUCGAACGGAGUUUGUUGGAUUGAUCCUUCGGGAGAUUGAUAGUAAACUUAGUGGCGGACUGGUGAGUAACGCGUGAGUAAUCUGCCUAUCACAGGGGGAUAACAGAGGGAAACUUCUGCUAAUACCGCAUAAGACCACAGGAUGGCAUCAUCAAGGGGUCAAAGGUUAGAUCUGGUGAUAGAUGAGCUUGCGUAUCAUUAGCUAGUUGGUGAGGGUAAAGGCCCACCAAGGCGACGAUGAUUAGCCGAUCUGAGAGGAUGACCGGCCACACUGGGACUGAGAUACGGCCCAGACUCCUACGGGAGGCAGCAGUUAGGAAUAUUGGGCAAUGGAGGAAACUCUGACCCAGCAACGCCGCGUGAAGGAAGAAGGUUUUCGGACUGUAAACUUCUGAUCUAAGGGAAAAAGAAAGUGAUGGUACCUUAGGAGAAAGCCACGGCUAACUACGUGCCAGCAGCCGCGGUAA
rnacentral:rRNA from 1 species